UUCUGGGUGUUAGGUCUUUUUGACUGCUUCUAGCCCAAAGUAAUAAAACCUACAAAAAGAGCUCUGGGACCUACAGUCUAGCGCUCUCCGAUAAUAUAACCCCAUGUGGUAAAUAACAAAAGGAUGCUGAGGCAAAAGGAUCUUUUAGUAAGAGGUUUCAGCCCAGCUCAUAAGGUGCUCCAGUUUUCCUAUUAGAAGACAAACUUCUCUUCAUUUGUUUCAAUUGUUACUGUAUUUUCUCAAGCCAGAGUAUGCCUGCCUCAGCACACGCCCGAGAGGCAGCACUCAGGUGCUGGUGGGCUUUGGCUCCAUGUGUACUACUCAGCUGUAAUUACAGCAUCUGCUACCCUUUCUUAUUUGCCAGGGUUAACUACUGCUAUGAAACACACAAAGGUGUGUUACAGAGGCUCAUUUUCAUCCUUCUCUGGAAGGUUGAGGGCAAGCUGAAACCUGGAAGAAUAAAGUGGUAUGCUCAGUGCUAAGCAGAACCAAAGAAAUCUGCCUAGGGUGUGUGUUAGUUUAAUAACAACCUUUUCAGAAAAUGCACUGCUAGUCUUUCAUAUCUUGCUUGCUUUCUUCCCUUCCUCCUGUAAGAUUGAAGCACUGAAGUCAUUCUCAAAAUCCGACCUAGUCAACUGGUUCAAGGCUCACAGAGGACCAGGAAGUAAAAUGCUCAGCGUUCAUGUCGUUGGAUUUGGGAAGUAUGAGCUAGAAGAGGAUGGUUCCCCUUCUGGUGAGGAUUCAAACUCUUCUUGUGAAGCAAUGCAGCUAACCUACCUGCCAUCCUCUCCUUUGCUGGUAGACGCUACCAUCCCCAUUACUGAUAUCAGGGCUUUCACAUCGACGCUUAACCUUCUCCCCUACCAUAAAAUAGUCAAAUAAACUGCAGUCUCGUUGGCCUGAA